rnacentral:rRNA from 1 species
AAGUGUGAUCAUACUAGCAUUAAUGCAUCAUAUCCCAGCAAACUCCGCAGUUAAGCGUGCUUGGACAAGAGUAGUAUUAGGAUGAGUGACCUCUUGGAAAGUCCUCGUGUUGCACCUC